AACGCGAAGAACCUUACCAGGUCUUGACAUCCAACUAACGAAGUAGAGAUACAUUAGGCGCCCUUCGGGGAAAGUUGAGACAGGUGGUGCAUGGUUGUCGUCAGCUCGUGUCGUGAGAUGUUGGGUUAAGUCCCGCAACGAGCGCAACCCUUGCUAUUAGUUGCUACGCAAGAGCACUCUAAUAGGACUGCCGUUGACAAAACGGAGGAAGGUGGGGACGACGUCAAAUCAUCAUGCCCCUUAUGACCUGGGCUACACACGUACUACAAUGGACGUCAACAGAGGGAAGCAAAACAGCGAUGUGGAGCAAACCCCUAAAAACGUUCUCAGUUCAGAUUGCAGGCUGCAACCCGCCUGCAUGAAGUCGGAAUUGCUAGUAAUCGCGGAUCAGCAUGCCGCGGUGAAUACGUUCCCGGGUCUUGUACACACGC
rnacentral:rRNA from 1 species